ensembl:lncRNA
CACAUAGUGACUGUGCAAGGCAGGACUUAGCCCUGGAGACGGGCAUGAAUCCAUGAGGCUAAGGAUUUGCCCAGAACACCAGCGAGCCUUGUCUGGCUCAUCACCUUCGCUGGCCUUAGAUGCAAGGACGUAUGAUGCUAAGAAAGGCAGGAGGGCCAUGUCUGCCACGGCAGUAGAGAAGCUGAGAAAACCUGGCUGUGGAAGAAAGCAUGAGACAGAAGAGCAGAGAAGCCAAGAUGGAACCCAUAAGAGAGGGGCUGGACCGAACGGUCCCGGUCUGUCUCAAGGCCCACAGCCAGCUGGCUCUGCUUCUUUAGUCAUCUCUGUAUCCCCUUUGGGGGUCUGUCCAGAUCUCCAGCUCCAUCUACGAGGGAAAAGUGGAAGGAACCCAGGAUGCUGAGUGUAGGGGCAAUGUGCGAUGAUCAAGGACACUUGAAGAAUGUAGCAAAUAUAAGAGGGGCCUGGCUGUCUGUGGCGUCCCCACCAGAGGUGGCCUGGAGAUGGCCUUGGCCAUCUUGGGAAGGCCCCCAGAUAUUGGCGGUGGCGCACAGGAAGGGGGAGGGGCCGAGACAGGCAGACACCGAUGGACUUAAGGGAACAAGUGACAGCUGGAAGAGCAUCAGAGGUGGGCAACCCUGACAAGCUCCAUGAGGACCCUGGUCCCUGGUGGCAGAACUGACAGACUCAACACCUGCGAUUAAGUUGGGAGGAGGAGGAGACACUUGAGGGCAGUGGGGAGGUGAGAUGGGGAGCGGAAGACAUCCAGUAAAGGUCAUCAACUCAGUUACCACUGCGGGCGACUUGAGAGUGACCACAUGGAAACCAGGAGGCGGCGUGAAGCACACGUGUCACAGAGCUGUCCACCAGAAUGCCGAGACCUGGCUGUUUAUUUUCAUCUCCUGCUUUUCCUAGGGCAGGCGUAUUAGCGCCCACACAGAAACAUUCACAGAGAAGAAGUCAACAAGCCGAAAGCCCUUGCCUUUGGAAAGCUGGAAGCUGAUUUGCCCUGGAGCGGUCUUUGCUUUUUAGAAUCGCCCUCCCUCCCUGACCAAAACACACACACUUAAAAGCCACAAUUGCUCAUCCAAAGUGGCUGUCAAUUUCACUCCAAAGAAAUGCAUGUGCACUCUCGCCUGUCCGCCCAUGUGAACACAGCAAGCUACUGACAUAACUACACCCAGUUCCAGUCCCAUCUGGAGAAGGCAUUACAGGAGGAAAGAGUUGGACCUGCGAGAACUCACAUCACCACAUACAUACUUGGAUGCUUAAACUUACGUCAUUUAAAUUGAGAAAGAGGACAUGGCCUUUACAGGUCACCUUCCUCUUCAAAAUAGUCUGGCUCCAUGUCCCCUAAGCACAGAGUGAACAUGCAAAAGGUCAGUGUUCGUCACUGAGCGAAUCCUGCCCUCGUCUUUCUCCAGUGCUGCAAAGACCUUACCCCUGCACAAGUGACUCCCCCCUGCACAAUGGACUCCCCCCUGCACAAGGGACUCCCCCUGCACAAGGGACUCCCCCCUGCACAAGGGACUCCACCUGCACAAGGGACUCCCCCCUGCACAAGGGACUCCCUCUGCACAAGGGACUCCCCCCUGCACAACGGACUCCCCCUGCACAAGGGACUUAUCUCCUGCUCAAGGGACUCCCCGUGCACAAGGAACUCAUCUCCUGCACAAUGGACUCGCCCC